rnacentral:rRNA from 1 species
CACGUAGGGUGCGAGCGUUGUCCGGAAUUAUUGGGCGUAAAGAGCUCGUAGGCGGUGUGUCGCGUCGGCCGUGAAAACCUGCAGCUUAACUGUGGGCGUGCGGUCGAUACGGGCAUCACUGGAGUUCGGCAGGGGAGACUGGAAUUCCUGGUGUAGCGGUGAAAUGCGCAGAUAUCAGGAGGAACACCGGUGGCGAAGGCGGGUCUCUGGGCCGAUACUGACGCUGAGGAGCGAAAGCGUGGGGAGCGAA